rnacentral:rRNA from 1 species
AACGAACGCUGGCGGCAUGCCUAACACAUGCAAGUCGAACGAGACCUUCGGGCCUAGUGGCGCACGGGUGCGUAACGCGUGGGAACCUGCCCUUAGGUUCGGAAUAACUCCCCGAAAGGGGUGCUAAUACCGGAUAAUGUCUUCGGACCAAAGAUUUAUCGCCUUGGGAUGGGCCCGCGUUGGAUUAGCUAGUUGGUAGGGUAAAAGCCUACCAAGGCGACGAUCCAUAGCUGGUCUGAGAGGAUGAUCAGCCGCACUGGGACUGAGACACGGCCCAGACUCCUACGGGAGGGAGCAGUGGGGAAUAUUGGACAAUGGGCGAAAGCCUGACCCAGCAAUGCCGCGUGAGUGAUGAAGGCCUUAGGGUUGUAAAGCUCUUUUACCCGGGAUGAUAAUGACAGUACCGGGAGAAUAAGCUCCGGCUAACUCCGUG